AACUCAUGUUGUGGACACUUUCGUAAAUGGUCCUUAAAUCGUUCCCAUGUAUCAAACAAAGUUUCAAGAUCCAUCUGAAUAAAUAAAGAUAUCUCAUUUUGAAGCU